rnacentral:tRNA from 1 species
UCUGGGGAUAUAGCUCACUUGGUAGAGUGCUUGCCUUGCAUGCACAAGGCCAUAGGUUCAAUCCCUAGCACAAAA